rnacentral:rRNA from 1 species
AUUGAACGCUGGCGGCAUGCCUUACACAUGCAAGUCGAACGGUAACGCGGGGCAACCUGGCGACGAGUGGCGAACGGGUGAGUAAUGCAUCGGAACGUGCCCAGUUGUGGGGGAUAACUGCUCGAAAGAGCAGCAAAUACCGCAUACGACCUGAGGGUGAAAGCGGGGGAUCGCAAGACCUCGCGCAAUUGGAGCGGCCGAUGUCGGAUUAGCUAGUUGGUGGGGUAAAGGCCCACCAAGGCGACGAUCCGUAGCUGGUCUGAGAGGACGACCAGCCACACUGGGACUGAGACACGGCCCAGACGCCUACGGGAGGCAGCAGUGGGGAAUUUUGGACAAUGGACGCAAGUCUGAUCCAGCCAUGCCGCGUGCGGGAAGAAGGCCUUCGGGUUGUAAACCGCUUUUGUCAGGGAAGAAAUCUUCUGGGUUAAUACCUCGGGAGGAUGACGGUACCUGAAGAAUAAGCACCGGCUAACUACGUGCCAGCCGCCGCCGUAAAAC